ACGAAUUCAUAACAUACACAUAAUUAGCUCUAAAUUUUAUAGGAAUAAACUUUCAGAGUUUCAGCAACUGCGGACUUUUUUUUUUUCAAAAAUUUCAGAUGGCACAAAUUCACUGUAGAGGAAAGAAUGCCUGGCCAGAAUUAGUAGGGGAAAAUGCUCAAGUUGCGAAAAGGAUAAUUGAGACACAGAAUCCUUUUGUAAGGGGGGUCAUCGAGAAGCAAGGGACUAUUGUAACUCGUGACUAUCUUUGCAGUCGAGUUUGGAUCUGGACUGAUGAUGCAGGAAAUGUUGCGACAAUUCCUCACGUUGGUUAAGCUACCUUCCUCUGAGACUGCCCUCUGUUCGAAUUAGUUGGUUACUUGUUUAAAUUACACUAUUAAUGCGAGCAAUUGUGGAUGGAGGGAGUAGUGUAUUGUAUUCCAAUUUCAUGUCAAUAAAACCAACAGGUUUGCAAUAUAGUUAUAACAUCGAUCUACUUUACUAGGAAGUACAUUUCAUAUCCUUCGAAACAAAGCCUCCAUAUACAUGUACACAUAAUAACUGGACAAUCGUUGUGAUAGGGUUAUUAUUUGGGUGAAAUGAUGCUGGAACUAUUGUCCUUAUACCUAAAGUUAGCUGAUUAAGUUCAUUAUCUCCUUGAUUGAACUAAUAUGUACUGCUACCUUCAUCAAUAAAUAAAACUAUAGUAGCAAUAUUAUUGUA